ACCUUCUGUGGUGUAGUUGGUAGCACCAAGGCUUAGUAAUUUUAAGUCCUUGGUUCAAGUCCCAGUGGGGAUA